GAUCAUGGCUCAGGACGAACGCUGGCGGCGCGCUUAAUACAUGCAAGUCGAACGAGAAGCCAGAGCUUGCUCUGGUGGAAAGUGGCGAACGGGUGAGUAACACGUGAGAAACCUGCCCCAAAGAUUGGGAUAAGCCUUGGAAACGAGGUCUAAUACCAAAUACCUUCUUUUAACACAUGUUAAAAGAAGAAAUGCUCCGGCGCUUUGGGAUGGUCUCGCGAUCUAUCAGCUUGUUGGUGAGGUAACGGCUCACCAAGGCAUCGGCGGAUAGCUGGUCUGAGAGGAUGUCCAGCCACAUUGGAACUGAGACACGGUCCAAACUCCUACGGGAGGCAGCAGUAGGGGAAUCUUGCACAAUGAGGGAAACCUUGAUGCAGCGACGCCGCGUGCGGGACGAAGGCCCUAGGGUUGUAAACCGCUUUCAGUAGGGACGAAAGUGACGGUACCUACAGAAGAAGCCCCGGCCAACUAUGUG
rnacentral:rRNA from 1 species